rnacentral:rRNA from 10 species
CCAUAUGACCCUUAAUGCACACGCACCUGAUCUCUGAUCUCAGAAGCUAAGCACUGUUGGGCCUGGUUAGUAUAUGGA